rnacentral:rRNA from 1 species
UACGUAGGGCGCGAGCGUUGUCCGGAAUUAUUGGGCGUAAAGAGCUCGUAGGCGGCUUGUCGCGUCGGAUGUGAAAGCCCGGGGCUUAACCCCGGGUCGGCAUUCGAUACGGGCAGGCUAGAGUGUGGUAGGGGAGAUCGGAAUUCCUGGUGUAGCGGUGAAAUGCGCAGAUAUCAGGAGGAACACCGGUGGCGAAGGCGGAUCUCUGGGCCAUUACUGACGCUGAGGAGCGAAAGCGUGGGGAGCGAACAGG